GACGAACGCUGGCGGCGUGCUUAACACAUGCAAGUCGAGCGGUAAGGCCCUUUCGGGGGUACACGAGCGGCGAACGGGUGAGUAACACGUGGGUGACCUGCCCUCAGCUCUGGGAUAAGCCUGGGAAACCGGGUCUAAUACCGGAUAUGACUCCAUGACGCAUGUUGUGGGGUGGAAAGCCUUGUGCGGCUGAGGAUGGGCCCGCGGCCUAUCAGCUUGUUGGUGGGGUGAUGGCCUACCAAGGCGACGACGGGUAGCCGGCCUGAGAGGGCGACCGGCCACACUGGGACUGAGACACGGCCCAGACUCCUACGGGAGGCAGCAGUGGGGAAUCUUGCGCAAUGGGCGAAAGCCUGACGCAGCAAACGCCGCGUGAGGGAUGAAAAUCCUUCGGGAUGUAAAACCCUCGACAAAAUAAUGGGAAAGAAACUCAAUGACGGUACCAUAUGUAAGCCACGGCU
rnacentral:rRNA from 1 species